rnacentral:rRNA from 1 species
UACGUAGGCGGUUUAUUAAGUCAGAUGUGAAAGCCCCGGGCUUAACCUGGGAACUGCAUUUGAUACUGGUAAGCUAGAGUAUGGUAGAGGGGGGUAGAAUUCCUAGUGUAGCGGUGAAAUGCGUAGAUAUUAGGAGGAAUACCAGUGGCGAAGGCGGCCCCCUGGACCAAUACUGACGCUGAGGUACGAAAGCGUGGGUAGCGAACA